ACGGCUCAGUAACACGUAGUCAAUCUACCCUAUGGACGGGAAUAACCUCGGGAAACUGAGAAUAAUGCCCGAUAGAACAUUAUGCCUGGAAUGGUUUAUGUUUCAAAUGAUUUAUCGCCAUAGGAUGGGACUGCGGCCUAUCAGUUUGUUGGUGAGGUAAUGGCCCACCAAGACUAUUACAGGUACGGGCUCUGAGAGGAGUAGCCCGGAGAUGGGUACUGAGACACGGACCCAGGCCCUAUGGGGCGCAGCAGGCGAGAAAACUUUGCAAUGUGCGAAAGCACGACAAGGUUAAUCCGAGUGGUUUCUGCUAAAGAAACCUUUUGUCAGUCCUAGAAACACUAACGAAUAAGGGGUGGGCAAGUUCUGGUGUCAGCCGCCGCGGUAAAACCAGCACCUCAAGUGGUCAGGAUGAUUAUUGGGCCUAAAGCAUCCGUAGCCCGUUUUGUAAGUUUUCGGUUAAAUCCAUGCGCUUAACGUAUGGGCUGCCGGGAAUACUGCAUAACUAGGAAGUGGGAGAGGUAGACGGUACUCGGUAGGAAGGGGUAAAAUCCUUUGAUCUAUUGAUGACCACCUGUGGCGAAGGCGGUCUACCAGAACACGUUCGACGGUGAGGGAUGAAAGCUGGGGGAGCAAACCGGAUUAGAUACCCGGGUAGUCCCAGCUGUAAACUAUGCAAACUCAGUGAUGCAUUGGCUUAUGGCCAAUGCAGUGCUGCAGGGAAGCCGUUAAGUUUGCCGCCUGGGAAGUACGUACGCAAGUAUGAAACUUAAAGGAAUUGGCGGGGGAGCAC
rnacentral:rRNA from 1 species